GCCCGGGACGCCCCCCGGGAGCCCCCCUGGCCCGGAGCCCUCCGGGACCCCCGCUGGGGACCCCGCGAUCGUGGAGCUGCCGCCGGGCGGGACCCUGAGCCUGGGCUGUGCCCGCUGCACCUGCCUGUGGGGCCGCCUGCGUUGCGCCCCCGCCGGGGGCUCCGCCUGCAACGGGACCGCGACACCGAACUGCGGGAGCGGCCCCUGUACCGCGGAGCCCGGCCCCACAGCGGAUCUCAGCCCCAUAUCGGAUGUCAGCCCCACAGCCGAUCUCGGCCCCACAGCAGA